AAUUACAAUUGAAGUGAAGACAAUGUGUCUCAAAAUUUACACAGCAUCCAUAAUUUUUUAAGGGUAAUAUGGAUUCACACACUGAAUUUCUCAAAUAAUCUAUAUGUGUGUAUAUAUAUAUAUAUUAUAGUGGCCCUUCCAUUGGCAAUGGAGAUAUACGAGGCUAAUUAAGAAAUGAAUCACCCAAUAUCAAAUCCAAAACCAGAUCAAGAUGAUGAUGAUGAUGCAGAAGAAGGAGAUACAGUGAAAGGCUUUUGUUCUUCACAUGUGAGCACUUCAUGGGGUCCUGCCUCUUCUCUCCCAACUCCCAUUAGAUCAAGGUAAUAAAGGUAAUGUGAGAUGAUGUUGUUCAUAGUGUCAACAUCACCUCGCCCACAAACUUGAUCUCCAUAGAGCACAUUCAUGGUGGCUCCGAACCCCGGGACCCGCUUGGCCAACGUGUCGUUCUUGGUCGGUUUCCAGCUUCCGACAAACACGUCGUGGGCCGACGGUUGGUGUUUCUUCACCGGUGUCAUCCAUCUCCAGAGUGCUGCCUGGAAAGCUAAGGUUGCAUUGUUUUCUAUGUAUUCAGGGUGGUUCAAUAAGUCCACCUUCAAUGCGUCGCCUGUUUCUCCAUAGUUGUAGUUCCUGCAGUAACAAAAAAUCAACAAGAUAAGAAGUCCAUGUUUAAAAUGAAUUCAAGUUGGUGAUUAUUAGUCCAACCGAAAGCUUCGUUGGCAUUAUGAGUUUGAUAAAAGGAUUAUUUGAGCGAUCCUUUACCAAUCAAAUCGGUGAUUCAAUCAUGUAAGUUGAACCAAAAGAUUAGGGAAUCAACCAAAAUGGGAUCAAUCCAACUGAUGUGGUCUUUUCAACCAUUACCUAUACCAUUGUAUUUUAUGAAAAUCUUGGAUAGAUAUUGAAUAUACAUGCUCCUAGUAUAGGAAAGCAACACGUUAUGUUGGUUCGACUCUUCAAUUUUCUUAAAGUAAUCAUAUCUGAUGCAUAUAUAAAUCCCCGUAUUUGGUUCCAGCAAACAAGUCUGAAUAACAUAAGUUAGGAAAUAGGGCACAUACCAAUAGAUAGGCAAGGCACCACGGCCAUGGUAAGAAACUCCAGGAGUGCAAGGGUAGGUGUAUUUGUAGUAAUCAUCACAAUACAAUUUGCUAGGACUCAUUUCCUUGUUGUAGCAUAGACCCCAAGCCAAUGGUCCCCCAGUUGCCACUCCAUAACC
rnacentral:lncRNA from 1 species